UACGGAAGGCAGCAGUGGGGAAUAUUGCACAAUGGGCGCAAGCCUGAUGCAGCCAUGCCGCGUGUAUGAAGAAGGCCUUCGGGUUGUAAAGUACUUUCAGUCGUGAGGAAGGUGUUAAGGUUAAUAACCUUAGCAAUUGACGUUAGCGACAGAAGAAGCACCGGCUAACUCCGUGCCAGCAGCCGCGGUAAUACGGAGGGUGCGAGCGUUAAUCGGAAUUACUGGGCGUAAAGGGCACGCAGGCGGUUAAUUAAGUUGGAUGUGAAAUCCCCGGGCUUAACCUGGGAAUGGCAUUCAAGACUGGUUAGCUAGAGUCUUGUAGAGGGGGUAGAAUUCCAUGUGUAGCGGUGAAAUGCGUAGAGAUGUGGAGGAAUCCGGUGGCGAAGGCGGCCCCUGGACAAAGGACUGACGCUCAUGUGCGAAAGCGUGGGGAGCAAACAGGGAUUAGAUACC
rnacentral:rRNA from 1 species